rnacentral:rRNA from 1 species
AGGACGAACGCUGGCGGCGUGCCUAAUACAUGCAAGUCGGACGGUCUUUCUAUGGAAGCUUGCUUCCACUGAGAAGAUAGUGGCGAACGGGUGAGUAACAACGUGGGUAACCUGCCCAUAAGAGGGGGGAUAACAUCCGGAAACGGGUGCUAAUACCGCAUAGUUUUCUUGAUCGCAUGAUCGGGAAAGGAAAGACGGCCUUUGUGCUGUCGCUUAUGGAUGGACCCGCGGCGUAUUAGUUAGUUGGUGAGGUAACGGCUCACCAAGACGAUGAUACGUAGCCGACCUGAGAGGGUGAUCGGCCACAUUGGGACUGAGACACGGCCCAAACUCCUACGGGAGGCAGCAGUAGGGAAUCUUCCGCAAUGGACGAAAGUCUGACGGAGCAACGCCGCGUGAGUGAAGAAAGGUUUUCGGAUCGUAAAACUCUGUUGUCAGAGAAGAACAAGUUGGAGAGUAACUGCUCCAGCCUUGACGGUAUCUGACCAGAAAGCCACGGCUAACUACGUGCCAGCAGCGGC